rnacentral:rRNA from 1 species
UACAGAGGUCUCGAGCGUUAUGCGGAAUCACUGGGCUUAAAGCGUGUGUAGGCGGCUUGCUAAGUACCUUGUGAAAUCCCAUGGCUCAACCAUGGAACUGCUGGGCAUACUGGCGAUCUUGUGCCACCUAGGGGCGAGCGGAACAGAUGGUGGAGCGGUGAAAUGCGUAGAUAUCAUCUGGAACGCCAAUGGUGAAAACAGCUCGCUGGGGGUGUGCAGACGCUGAGACACGAAAGCCAGGGGAGCGAACGGG